ACCGACGAGAUAACUUCCGACUUCCAAAAUAUCAACCUGUAAACGAACACAAAAACUCAGAACAGAAACUCACAAGAAAACCAACCUUUAACUUUUCUCCACAAUUCAUAAUGGACAAAAAUUUCUCAACAGAAAAACCUAUCAGUCUCACUCCAACUUCUAAACAUAACUUACAACUAACUUGAAAAAUAACGGUAUCAAAAAUUAGUUCCAAAACUCAUCAAUCCCUAAGCUGCCCUUAGCUGACCUAAACUGCCCCAUUCAGUUGCAACCAAUUCCAACUUCUAUAAAGCUCCAACGAGUUCCCAAUCAUUUUUUCGGGUUUUCACUAUCAUCUUCAUCACCCUCAAGAAUCAUAGAACUUUCACGCUCUCUCAACUCAACCCUCACCUUCAUCCUUCACAAUCAUCGAUCACAUCUCGGUUCGUCAACUGAAGAAGAAGAAGAUCGAAGAGAGAAGAAUAUGGAGAUAGAGUCACUACCUGGAAGUAGAGAUUUCACCGUCGCAGUCGUCGUCUCCGGCAGAGUGUGUUUCAAAUUCUUUUCUCUUUCAGUUUUUCGUUGCCGUGACGUAGAGGAGAUGUAGGCAGAUCAGAGCUCUGAUCCCUCAGGCUCCGAUUCUAGGAGAGUGGUGACGGGUGUAGGUCUUUUCCGUUAGGAUUCCUAAAU
rnacentral:lncRNA from 1 species